ACGGGAGGCAGCAGUGGGGAAUAUUGCGCAAUGGGGGAAACCCUGACGCAGCAACGCCGCGUGAAGGAAGAAGGUUUUCGGAUUGUAAACUUCUGUCGCAAGGGAAGAAUAAAGUGACGGUACCUUGUGAGAAAGUCACGGCUAACUACGUGCCAGCAGCCGCGGUAAUACGUAGGUGACGAGCGUUGUCCGGAUUUACUGGGUGUAAAGGGCGCGUAGGCGGGAUAGCAAGUCAGAUGUGAAAUACCGAGGCUCAACCUCGGGGCUGCAUUUGAAACUGUUAUUCUUGAGUGUCGGAGAGGAAAGCGGAAUUCCUAGUGUAGCGGUGAAAUGCGUAGAUAUUAGGAGGAACACCGGUGGCGAAGGCGGCUUUCUGGACGAUAACUGACGCUGAGGCGCGAAAGUGUGGGGAGCAAACAGGAUUAGAUACCCUGGUA
rnacentral:rRNA from 1 species